rnacentral:rRNA from 1 species
UUCUGGCUCAGGAUGAACGCUGGCGGCGUGCUUAACACAUGCAAGUCGAACGGAGUUUAGAUGAAAGCUUGCUUUGACUAAACUUAGUGGCGGACGGGUGAGUAACGCGUGGGUAACCUGCCUUAUACAGGGGGAUAACAGUCGGAAACGACUGCUAAUACCGCAUAAGCGCACGGAAUCGCAUGAUUCAGUGUGAAAAGAUUUAUCGGUAUAAGAUGGACCCGCGUCUGAUUAGCUAGUUGGUGAGGUAACGGCCCACCAAGGCGACGAUCAGUAGCCGGCCUGAGAGGGUGAACGGCCACAUUGGGACUGAGACACGGCCCAAACUCCUACGGGAGGCAGCAGUGGGGAAUAUUGCACAAUGGGGGAAACCCUGAUGCAAGCGACGCCGCGUGAGUGAAGAAGUAUUUCGGUAUGUAAAGCUCUAUCAGCAGGGAAGAAAAUGACGGUACCUGACUAAGAAGCCCCGGCUAACUACGUGCCAGCAGCAGC